rnacentral:lncRNA from 1 species
UAAUGAUCCAUUUUAUGCCACAUGUUCCAAUCCAAGACAAAGGAAAAUAGGCUUAACUUAAGGUGGGAAGAUAAAAUACGAAGAACAUUCUCAUAUGAUAAUUUUUUUUUUUCAGAUGGAGUCUCACUCUGUUGCCCAGGCUGGAAUGCAGUGAUGCCAUCUUGGCUCACUGCAAACCUCCACCUCCCAGGUUCAAGUGAUUCUCCUGCCUCAGCCUCCCAAGUAGCUGGGACUACAGACAUGUGUCAUCACACCUGGCUAAUUUUCAUAUUUUUAGUAGAGGUGGGGUUUCACCAUGUUGGCCAGGCUGGUCUCAAACUCCUGGCCUCAAGUGAUCUGCCCACCUCAGCCUCCCAAAGUGCUGGGAUUACAGGUGUGAGCCAACAUGCCCGCCCCAAAGUAGGACACUUUCCAUGAAAAUGUGGGCUACAAAAAUCUGCCUUCACGGGAAGAUGCCAAACUCUGGCUGGGAAAGAAAAAGGUCUUCCUGGAGAAUUCAUAACCAUAUGCCUGACAUCUCAUGGGUUUGUAAAUUCAAACUAUUAGCAUGGUAUGUGGUGGUCCAAGAUCAGAAAUAGAAAUAGUACCUGGGGGAUCUUCCGCUACUUCCUUCUUACCAUACAUUCCCAAUCUCUCUCUCUCUCUCUUUUUUUUUUUUUGUCUAUUUCAUUUUGGAUAAAACAGUUCAAUUCAUAUGGUUAUUCUGAUACCUAAACUGCUCUUCUGCAGUUACACAUUGUUUAACUCUUCAACCAAAUGAGUAAAAGUAAUCAUUCAUGGCAACUUGAUCCCUAAGGAGUCAGAUUAUGGUUAGAAACAGACACUGAAGUCAGUCAGAUUUGACUUUUCAUUUGAGCUCAAUUCGUAAUCUUGAGCAAGUUCCCUCACUUCUCUCUUAGUUUCUUCAUCAGCCAAACAGGGAUAAUAGUAGCAUCUACCAAUGAGAAGUUCGUGUUGAGCAUUUAGCACUUACUUGGCACAUAAUGAAUCCUUAAGAAGUGCCAGCCAUGUAUCAACAAUGGUGAGCAAAUCCUUAUGAUCUAAAUUUCUACAUAUCCAGGAUUCUAGGUCCUUAACUUCCUUUAUAAAAAGCAUAACUAAGGCCAGUUGCGGUGGCUCACGUCUGUAAUCCCAGCACUUUGAGAGGCCGAGGCAGGUGGAUCAUGAGGUCAGGAGAUAGAGACCAUCCUGGCUAACACGGUGAAACCCCAUCUCUACUAAAAAUACAAAAAAAUUAGUUGGGAGUGGUGGCGGGCACCUGUAGUCCCAGCUACUUGGGAGGCUGAGGCAGGAGAAUGGCUGAACCUGGGAGGCGGAGCUUGCAGUGAGCUGAGAUUGCACCACUGCACUCCAGCCUGGGUGACAGAGGGAGACUCCAUCUCAAAAAAAAAAAAAAAAAAAAGGAAAAAAAAAAAAGCAUAACUAAGCAUUACAGUUUAGCUCAUUCAUCUUCUAGUUUUAAAAUUUUCUACCAACUUUGUUAGAUAUUAGGUAAUUUAUAUCUUUUCAUAUUAAAUUGGUUGUUAAGCAAAGAAUACUAUAAGCCAACAGAUCUUUUCACUUUGUAUUUCUCCAGGAUCCCAGAUAAUUUCUUAGGAGUGGGAUGUGAACUCAUUAAAUCUUUCAAGACUUUCUUAUAUAAUUUCUAGCUCUUUGCAAUAUAGAAGGGGCUCAAUACACUCAUUUGGAUAUAAAAGUGGAUUAAUGUAUGUUAGAGUCAUCACUAACAGAGCUGGCAGGAGUCUUAAGGGCCUAGUUUGACCAGUUAGUUGAUGUUUAGUACGCAUCAACACGUCAUUCUCAGCCAGAAGUUACCUGGAUCAGAGCUUGUCUAUUAAUCUCCAGUGACAGAAAUUCACUCUUCUAAGGCAGUGCAUUCUUGCUGUGAGUUCCAUGCCUCUGAAAUUUAAUGUGGAUUAGUUCUUUCCCUGAGCUUACCUUGAAGCCAGACUCAGCACUUCAUCACAUCCCCAGGGUGAUAUUGUGAAAUAUGUAUUUGGUCUUCAUCCUGUUUCCUGGAAUACAUACAGCUCCUAAAAUCUUUAGACUCUCUGGAGUGAUAAGUGUCUUUGUAUG